UACAGAGGUCUCAAGCGUUGUUCGGAUUCAUUGGGCGUAAGGGGUGCGUAGGCGGCGCGGUAAGUCGGGUGUGAAAUCUCGGAGCUUAACUCCGAAACUGCAUUCGAUACUGCCGUGCUUGAGGACUGGAGAGGAGACUGGAAUUUACGGUGUAGCGGUGAAAUGCGUAGAUAUCGGGAAGAACACCCGUGGCGAAGGCGGCUCUCUGGGACGGUACUGACGCUGAGACGCGAAAGCGUGGGGAGCGAACAGG
rnacentral:rRNA from 1 species